CUUCCCAGACACCUCUUGGGGAGAGGCCUUUAUUUCUCCUUUGGACCUAUGCUUGGUAUGAACCCUACUAUGCCUUUAUCUCUACACAGGUGUUGAGGGGAUGACCACAUUGGCAUCUAUUUACACGCCACUGAUACCAUCCCGUUUGAGGAUCAACCACCCAGACAUCAUUCGCACCUUUCGUCAUGCAACAAAUACUUUUGGACGUUGCCUUCCCGCCAGCCCUGUUCUGGGUUCUGAACAACACACAUGGAUUUUAAGCAGAGGACGUGCAACACCUGAUUUACACUUUGAAAAGAUCCCUGUGGCUCUUCUCGGAAAUGUGCUGUAAGGUGCAUGAGUGAAAGUAAGGCGGCCAGACUAUAUAUUCCAUGACGACAGGGCCCAAACUCUUGUUCACAGCUGUGUGCUCAGUGACUGGCACAGUGUCUGGUUUGCAGAAUAACUGUCACUUCAUGGCAAAUAGAUGGGGAAGAAUGGAAACAGUGUCAUAUUUCAUAUUCCUGGGCUCCAAAAUCAAUGCAGAUGGGGACUGCAGCUACAACAUUAAAAGACGCUCACUCCUUGGAAGAAAAACUGUAACAAACCUAGACAGCGUAUUAAAAAGCAAAGACAUCACUUAGCUUGCAAACGUCCAUCUACUCAAAGCUAUGGUUUUUCCAGUAGUCAUGUAUAGAUGUGAGAGUUGGACCAUAAAGAAGGCUGAGCACUGGAG
ensembl:lncRNA